GCUAGAGAAGAUUAGUGGCGGACGGGUGAGUAACAUUUAGGAAUCUGCCUAGUAGUGGGGGAUAGCUCGGGGAAACUCGAAUUAAUACCGCAUACGACCUACGGGUGAAAGGGGGCGCAAGCUCUUGCUAUUAGAUGAGCCUAAAUCAGAUUAGCUAGUUGGUGGGGUAAAGGCCCACCAAGGCGACGAUCUGUAACUGGUCUGAGAGGAUGAUCAGUCACACCGGAACUGAGACACGGUCCGGACUCCUACGGGAGGCAGCAGUGGGGAAUAUUGGACAAUGGGGGCAACCCUGAUCCAGCCAUGCCGCGUGUGUGAAGAAGGCCUUUUGGUUGUAAAGCACUUUAAGCAGGGAGGAGAGGCUAAUGGUUAAUACCCAUUAGAUUAGACGUUACCUGCAGAAUAAGCACCGGCUAACUCUGUGCCAGCAGCCGCGGUAAUACAGAGGGUGCGAGCGUUAAUCGGAAUUACUGGGCGUAAAGCGAGUGUAGGUGGCUCAUUAAGUCACAUGUGAAAUCCCCGGGCUUAACCUGGGAACUGCAUGUGAUACUGGUGGUGCUAGAAUAUGUGAGAGGGA
rnacentral:rRNA from 1 species